rnacentral:lncRNA from 1 species
UGUGUUUUGCAAGACAAGGUCUCAUCCUGGAACUUGGGAUUCCUGAUUAAGAAUAGGUUGGCUAACCAGUGAACCCCUGAGAUGCUCUCAUUUCCACCUCUCAAGCAUUGGGAUUACAAGUGCAUGCCAGCACAUCAGCACAUCCAGUUUUUUGGGUUUUUUUUUUUUUUUUUUUUUUGGUUAUUGUUGUUUUUAAAUCUGAGAUGGUUUCACUGUGUAUCUCUGGCUGUCCUAGAACUCACUAUGUCAAACUCACAGAGCUUCUGACUAUGCCUCCCAAGUGCUGAGAUUAAAGGCCUCAAUCACUAUACUUUUCUGGUACCACAGUUUUUUGAGACACAUUCACACUGUACCUGGAGCUCACUAAUUCAGAUAGACUGGCCAAGAGCCAAGGACACCCCCAGAAAUCCUCCCAUUUCCCCCACUCCACCGCAGGAGCUACAGGUGCAGUCCCUACACUUGACUUAAAAUUGUACUGAGGGUCUGAUCUCAGACCCUCACACUCACCUGGGAAGCAAUUACCAGCUGAGCCCCAAUCCCUUUUUUCCCCUCUAAUUUCUUUAUUAGAUUUAUUCUUUUUAUGUGUGCUUUACCUAUAUGCAUGUAUGUAUGCUCACCAUGUGCAUAUGUGAUGCCAGAGAUCAGAAGAGGGUAUAGGAUGCCCCUGAACUGGAAUUACAGAUGAUUGUGAACCACCAUGUGCUAGGAAUUGAACUAAGGUCCUCUGUAAAAGCAACAAGUGUUCUUAAUCUCUAAGCUAUUUCUCUAACCAACUAAUGAUGAUGAUGAUGAUAAAUUUUUAUUUUGUGUAUGGUGUUUUGCUUGCAGGUAUGUCUGUUUACCACAUUCAUGCAGUAUACUUGGAGGUCAGAAGAAGGCAUUGGAUUCCCCUGGAACUGGAGUUACAUGGGAAUUGAGUUCAGAUCUUCUGGAAGAUCAGCUAGUGCUCUUACCUGUUGAUCCAUCUCUUUAGCUCCCUUCCCUGUUUGUUUGUUUGUUUUUUUUUUAAGAUUUUUUUUUUCUGGGUGGUGAUGGUGGUACUCAGCACUUGGGAGGCAGAUGCAGGUGGAUCUCUGAGUUCAAGGCCACCCUGGUCUACAGAGUGAAUUUCAGGACAGCCAGAGCUUUGCAGAAAAGUCCUAUCUUGAGAAACCAGAAAGAAAUAUAUUUCACUUUUAUUAUUUAUUUGUGUGUAUGUAUCUGUUUGUGUGUACACCUGUGUGCAAGUGCCACUAAAGGCCAGAAGAGGGCAUCAGAUCCCUAGGAACUAGAGUUGCAGGUGGUUGUGAGCUGCCCAGUGUGGGUGCUGGGAACUAAAAGAGCAUCAAGCGUUCUUAAGCAAUGAGUCAUUAAUCUAGCUUCUGUAUAUGUGGGUUUUUUCUUGUUCUUCGAGACAGCAUUUCACAUUAGGUAAUCCAGGCUAACCAGCCCUGCUGUCUGAGCUUCCAAAGUGCCAGGAAGAAGGGUGUGUGUCACUGCUCCUAGCACCGAGGAGCUGUGCUUUCUAAAGAACGUACAGGAAAUGCUUCAAAGGGACUAGGCAUGUAGGUCACGUUUUUCUAAACAUCUAGAUGUUUAUCUCUGAACCCUAAAACCCAAAUUAAGGCUCAUGCACAUACUAACAAAACCCACUCUGAAUCAAACAGAAAAUAAAGUGAAACAAAGAUACUUGUUCUUUUAUGAGAAAAUCGACACCAGUAUCUUAGAGUACUGUGUAUCAUCUUCAUCACAAUGGCGUGUUAAAAUUUAGAGGCUAGGUGCUGGAUGCGGUGAUAUAAACCUUUAAUCCCGCCAGAAGGUGACAGCAAGUGGCUCUCUCUGAACUCACAGCCAGCUUUGUCUAUACAGAGAGUUUCAAUUUCACUCAGAGCUACAGAGUGAGACCUUCAUCUCAAAAGAAAAUUAGAAAGCUUAGCUGCUAGGGCUUAGGGAUGUAGCACAGUAGUCCAACACUUGCCUAGCAUGUGUAAGGCCUAGGUGUAGCACUCAGAUCUGCAAAAACAAACAAAAAAUAUGAUAGAUAUUCAGUAAAUCAAAGGAGGAAAUGGAUAAUUUGCAUUCCUAACAGGGUGAUGGCACUGAUAGUGGACCACAUUUUGACAACCAGGAUACUAUAUUAAAACUUACAGGGAGGCUAAGGCGAUAGCUCAGUGGAUUGCUGUGCAAGUUCGAUGACCUGAGUUCAGUUCCUGGAAUCCACAGUUGCAGGAGAGAAUGGACAUGCAUACACUGUAGCACAUGUAUGUCCAUGAUCACACACAUGCAUCUGCAUACAUGUAAUUAUAAAAAGUAAGAAAACCAACCAAACAAAAAUAUCUAAUAUGGGGAGAAGGCUUAAUGGACAAAACAUCUACUGCACAAGCAUUAGAACUGGAGUUCAGGAGCUGGAGAGAUGGCUCAGUGGUUAAGAGCACUGACUGCUCUUACAGAGGUCCUGAGUUCAAAUCCCAGCAACAACAUGGUGGCUCACAACCAUCUGUGAUGGGAUACAAUGCCCUCCUCUGGUGUGUCCGAAGACAGCUACAGUUUACUCAUAUACAAUCAAUCAAUCAAUCAAUCUUUAAAAAACAAAACAAAAUUGGAGUUUAAAUCUUCAGACUCUAUGUAAAGCCAGGCACAGUAAUAUUCACAUACUCACAAAUUAUAGAAGUCACCUCAUACCCACAAUAUUCAUUUCUAAAGGUUAAGAAAUUCACCAUCAAGUGGAAACCAAAAACACUAUACAGAAAAUUCCAGAAAUAAUUUCUACGAUUUAUUUAUUUUUUUUAAAUGUAUUUAUUGUUCUUUGUGAGUUCAAGGCCAGACUCAUCUGCAUAGCAAGUUGCAGGCCAGCCAAGGCUACAUAGUAAGCCUCCAUCUCAAAAAGACCAAAAAACCC